rnacentral:rRNA from 1 species
UACCUGCGGCCCGAGUUGUGACCAUUAUUAUUGAGUCUAAAGCGUUCGUAGCUGGUUUGGAUAGUUUGUGCUUAAAUCUUUUCGUUUAACGGAAAGGCAUGGUAUAAAUACUUCCAGACUAGAGGCCGGGAGGGGAGAUGGGAACUUUUCGGGUAGGAGUAAAAUCCUUUAAUCCGAAAAAGACCACCAAUAGCGAAGGCACAUCUCCAGAACGGACCUGACGGUGAGGGACGAAGGCUAGGAGAACAAACCGGAUUAGAUACCCGGGUAGCCCUAGCAGUAAACGCUGCUUACUAUACGUUGCAUUUCCCUGAGGAAAUGCAGUGUGACAGCGAAGGCGUUAAGUAAGCCACUUGGGGAGUAUAAUCGCAAGGUCGAAACUUAAAGGAAUUGGCGGGGGAGCACAAAAACGGGUGAAAUUUGCGGUUCAAUUGGAUUCAACUCCGGGAAUCUUACCAGAAGCGACAGCAAUAUGAAGGUCAGCCUGAAGAGCUUACCAAAUGCGCUGAAAGGUGUUGCAUGGCCAUCAUCAGUUAGUAUCUUGAGACGUCCCGUUAAGUCGGGUAACUAACAAGACCCUCUUCUAUAUUUGCUAACAUGCAAUCCGUUGUGAAUGAGCAAAAUAUAGAGACUGCUUUCGAAAGAAAGAGGAAGGCGAGGGCGACGGUAGGUCAGUACGACCCUAAUCCUCUGGGCUACACGCGAAUUGCAAUGGUAAAGGCAAUAGGACGCCACUCCGAAAGGAGGAGCUAAUCCCCGAAUCUUUACCCUAGUUCGGAUCGAGGUCUGUAACUCGGCCUCGUGAAGGCGGAAUCCGUAGUAACCGCGUUUCAACAAAGCGCGGUGAAUACUUUCCUGCUCCU